GUCUACAGCCGUGCCACCCUGAACAAGCCCAAUGUCCAAUCUCAGAAGCUAAGCAGGGUUGGGCCUGUUAGUACUUGGAUGGGAAACCACCUAGGAAGACCAGGUGCUGUAGGCA
rnacentral:rRNA from 1 species